rnacentral:lncRNA from 1 species
AUGGAGUGAUUUCUCAUGUAGUGUUACAGUAAUGACCAACGUGACACAGAAGGAAAAUUCUGUGACAAUAUGGAGCUCAUGUCCUGUCAUGGAGAGGAGUCAACCUCUUUCCUGCAGGCAGUCUAACCCUCUCAUGGAGGCAGUGCAGCCAUGACCCAGCACAACACAUGCCAUGUGUAGUGAGAGGGAAUCAGAGAAAAUUCAUUCAACCAUCAAUUCAUAGAGAUGAAAAUCCAGUGGAAGAGCACCACACAGAGCCCAUCUUUUUCAAGGCGUGGCUUAGUCUGCAUCAAUAUGUGUAUUUAGCUGCAUGCAUAAGGGGGCAUGUCCCAGCUGCCCUCCUGGCUUGCUGCAGCCGCUGCGGAUUGGACUGGGGAGCUGGCUUGUGGUAGAGAGCAAAAGUUUACAUUUGUCAGUGCAAAGCGAGGAAGCAGGGGAUUGGAGAACACUGGGUGCUCCCAUAUAAGCACCAUAGCCCCAAGUCUAAUGGGUAAUAGAGUCAUUAAUUCUGCUGAUUAACUUGGCCUUAGGGUUCAUGGAAAUGACAUCCACCUCCUUUCUUUUUUUCUUUAUUCUUUUUUCUUUCUUUCUAUUUUAUUUUAUUUUUUAAAGCUCAAACUGGGGAAUGAGGGAGCAUAAAAAAAAAAGCUAAUUAGAGAGAAAUCAGGAGAAAAGAAGCAGGGAGAAAAGAGAGACAGUCUGAGCAUUAAUGAGACUGAUUUGGGAAGAGGAUGUGACAAGCUCUUCAAAAGCAUUAUUGUCAAAUGUGUCACUGUUUCAUAGAUGGCUAGCGCUACCUUUGAGCUUCACGCUGAUAGUUAAUGAUUUGAAACUAUAAAAAGAUUGAAAAGGUAAAAGGGAAAAUGUCA